rnacentral:rRNA from 1 species
GACGAACGCUGGCGGCGUGCUUAACACAUGCAAGUCGAACGGAAAGGCCUGCUUUCCCUUGUGGAUUGCGGGUACUCGAGUGGCGAACGGGUGAGUAACACGUGAGUGAUCUGCCCCCAACUUGGGUAUAAGCCUGGGAAACUGUCUAAUUCCCGAUAGGACUGCAGGGUGGUGCCUGUGGUGGAAAACGAUUUUCUAGUGGUUGGGGAUGAGCUCGCGGCCUAUCAGCUUGUUGGUGGGGUAAUGGCCUACCAAGGCGGCGACGGGUAGCCGGCCUGAGAGGGUGGACGGCCACAUUGGGACUGAGAUACGGCCCAGACUCCUACUGGAGGCAGCAGUGGGGAAUAUUGCACAAUGGGCGGAAGCCUGAUGCAGCGACGCCGCGUGGGGGAUGACGGCCUUCGGGUUGUAAACUCCUUUCGACCGCGAGGAAGCCACCUGGUUGGAAGGGUGGUGACGGUAGUGGUAGAAGAAGCACCGGCUAACUACGUG